AAAUUGCGUUAGGGAUAGUAGUGGCAUCCUUUUUUGGAGUGUAACGGAGAAAAAGAUAUAACGGAUAGCGCGACCUGAA
rfam:Lutibacter flavus strain DSM 27993 genome assembly, contig: Ga0070584_15